AAAGUAUUAAAAAUCAGUCCAAAAUGUCAGUUCCUUUGGCUUUAUGGUGUUUAAAUAUGAAUUUAAAGCAAAGGUCAAAAUCUAGAACGUCCUAUUAACCUUUGACCUUGACCUCAAUUUCAAGGUCACAAACUAAGGACAUCGAAUCAAAAGACCAUCGGUCUUAAAUAUGUAUGGUUAAUGAGUAAUAUCACUUUACGCAUAAUUCUAAAUAUAAGAGGGGCUAAAACUCCCAUUUAUUGUUUACGCACCCUUUGAACCAAAAUUUAUAAGUUACUACAUGUCCCAAAUAACAAUUUUGUAAAAAUAAUUUGUCGAUAUCUUAUAAGAUUAAUGAAAAUGAGUGAAAAUAAGCCAAAAUCAAAAUUUCGAAUAUGACCUUGACCUUUGACCUUGACCUAAUUUUCAUUUUUUUGGACCAAGGACCUAAAAUCUGAAGACCCUAGGUCUCUAUCACUUAUGGUUUACUAGUUAGAAAUGCAUAUCACUUGAAUCAAAUGAAAAAGGGGGAAUAACUCUCAUAUGGACUCGCCAUAUAGCUUCGGUCCAAAUGAAUAUACUUACUCUUAAGAUGUAA
rnacentral:lncRNA from 1 species